rnacentral:rRNA from 1 species
UACGUAGGGUGCGAGCGUUGUCCGGAAUUAUUGGGCGUAAAGGGCUCGUAGGCGGUUUGUCGCGUCGGGAGUGAAAACCCAGGGCUUAACCCUGGGCUGGCUUCCGAUACGGGCAGACUAGAGGUAUGCAGGGGAGAACGGAAUUCCUGGUGUAGCGGUGAAAUGCGCAGAUAUCAGGAGGAACACCGGUGGCGAAGGCGGCUACCUGGCCUGUUCUUGACGCUGAGGCGCGAAAGCUAGGGGAGCAAACGGG